rnacentral:rRNA from 1 species
GACGAAGGUGGCAAGCGUUGCUCGGAAUCACUGGGCAUAAAGCGCGCGUAGGUGGCCUGACAAGUCGGUGGUGAAAUCCCAUGGCUCAACCAUGGAACUGCCAACGAUACUGUCGGGCUUGAGGACGGUAGGGGAGAGUGGAACUCCUGGUGUAGCGGUGAAAUGCGUAGAUAUCAGGAGGAACGCCGGUGGCGAAAGCGACUCUCUGGGCCGUUCCUGACACUGAGGCGCGAGAGCUAGGGGAGCAAACAGG